CGGAUUGGGCCAGUUUCGUAUUCGAUAUUCGAACGUUGAGUACGAAAAAAUAAUAUUUUUUUGCUGAAUUAUAAUUCUUUUGAAGUAAAUUUAUUUUUCUGAUUCUCUUCUCGUUGUGUAAGUGAACAACGGAAAUCGGAUGAUGAAAGUAAACGAUUUUUUUUUAAAGAUCGAAUAAAACAUUUUUGCCUCCAACAUCUUUUGUUUGUCAGAAAAAAUUGAGCUUGAAAUUCGGUUGCACGGAUAAAACGAAAAUGGGGGAAAUGUCGUUGAGGUCUUGGAGAGGGGUACGUAGCGCAAUAUGGGCACCAUUUUUAUGGUGAAUAACUUGAAAUUUGCAUAAGGAGAAUUUCAAUGGGUCAUAAUAUCGCGAAGGGUCGGAGUGCUUUGAAGUUUUUCUUGAAAACGGUGCCCAUAAGUGACCUCUACAAAAGAUACGGUACAUGAUGAUCGUUACAAUGAUUUCUACCUGUGAAAUCUUCAAAUACGUUACUGCACGGUUUUGUUGAUUUUUGAGCAAGCCCCUGGACGAUUAUCGAGGUACAAAAACGCCCAGCGGGCAAUUUUAUUUGGAAAGUUAGCGAGAGCAAGAGAUAGCCACAGUUUAAGGAGAAAAGGAAGGCGGGAGAGAGCUUACGUGGAAAGUGAUCGUUGUUCGUACUCAGGAGCUUGCCAGCGUUAUUCAAACCGCGAUAAUGAUUAAAGCGAUCACAGUGAGAGGCAUUCGGAGGCGGAAACUGCGAACACCUCCGGCAGACACAGAGGUUAAUACUUUUAAAGGUUCCUAGAUGUACCCGAGGUCACGGAAGCAUUCACCAUGCACCACCUCCGUUUCAAUCCGUUCCUCUGUUUUCAGUUUCCUUCAGUUUUUCUUCCAAUUACAUUCCUCAUUAUUUCUUUAUCGAAGGUUGUUGAACAAAUUUCGCCAUAUUUUUUCACUCGCUGCAUGCUUUCGUCCCUACUAUUUAUUUUAUUUUGUGAGCACAAACCGUUUCUCUAGUAACGUGCUAAUUUUGGAAUCCGCCAAUUUUCGAAUGAUCACUCACAAUAAAAACUCUGGUAAUUAGCAAUUCACGGAAAAUUCGGUUUUCAGCAAGAACUUUGAUUCCGCUGCAACUCAACGUUGCGUCAAUUUUUUUUUAUCAGACCAAAAAAUUCGUUUAAUUGGUAUUCUUAAAAAACUUUGUAAAAGGAGCAUUGAAAUGUUGUUUCCACGUGAUCAUUCGGGUGCCAAAGGCACGAAAUUUCGUGACUAUUUGUUGACAUUUUGAACUUUUUCUUUGCCAUCGAUACAAAUACUGGGAAGUAUCGUUGCUUGCAGUAUUUCCAUGAAUUGUUUCCACGUUCGUCGAAGCACGUUCUUUGUAAAUAUAAGCUGCGCUAUACCAGUACGGAUAUGUCAACGACGAUAGACAGAAGCAGUUCGAAGACCACCGAAAAUAUCGUAUCGAACGUGUAUCCGUCCGUGUUCAUUCGAAAAAAGCGAUCAUUUACGAAAUAUUAAAAUUAUUAGAAAACUAAAGUCGCGAUCAAUUGCACGGAAAUAAUGAUUACAAUUUGUGUGUGUUUUUUUUUGAAAAUGUGUACAAGGAAAAUGAGGAACGUCGGGUGAGAUCGUAUCCUCGUUAAGCUCAUGAAACUAUCCGUCGAUAGUGCACGUAAAAUUCGUAUUCUCACGACAUCUGUCAAUGCUCGAACGUUCAUUCGUCUGUACUUAUUGUUUGUUUAUUUUGUUGUGUUUUUCUUCACUAUUAAUUUGUCCAUCAUCGUAAUAUUGAUGCUAAAAUGUUCGGUAGACCGUCACAGUGUUUUAGGCUUCUAAAGGCACUGCCCGAUGGUUGUUUAUCAAUUUCUUGCUACGUUCGUCCGUUCACUGAUUAUUUAUUACUUUUGUUUAGAUAUUUUCUGUUUUUUUUUUUUUUUUUCGGCAAAUCCGUUUCGUUCCUUUAUUCUUUUCGUAUUUUGUAACAUUUUUCUACGAAUAUUGUCCCGAGAAUUCAAGCCUGUUGUUGACAUUUGCGUAAGCAUUUGAAUAAACGCUAAAUACACACGACA